AGAGUUUGAUUCUGGCUCAGAGCGAACGUUGGCGAUGCGUCUUAAGCAUGCAAGUCGAGCGGGCUUAUUCGGGCAACUGGAUAAGUUAGCGGCGAACUGGUGAGUAACACGUAGGUAAUCUGCCGUAGAGUGGGGGAUAACCCAUGGAAACAUGGACUAAUACCGCAUAUACUCUUGACGCUAAAGCGUAGUAGAGGAAAGGAGCAAUCCGCUUUACGAUGAGCCUGCGGCCUAUUAGCCUGUUGGUGAGAUAAAAGCCCACCAAAGCUACGAUAGGUAGCCGACCUGAGAGGGUGACCGGCCACAUUGGGACUGAGAUACGGCCCAGACUCCUACGGGAGGCAGCAGCUGAGAAUCUUCCACAAUGGACGAAAGUCUGAUGGAGCGACAUCGCGUGAGGGAUGAAGGCCUUCGGGUUGUAAACCUUGGAAAUUAUCGAAGAAUGAGUGACAGUAGAUAAUGUAAGCCUCGGCUAACUACGUGCCAGCAGCCGCGGUAAUACGUAGGAGGCAAACGUUGCUCGGAUUUACUGGGCGUAAAGGGUGAGUAGGCGGAACUAUAAGUCUAAGGUGAAAUAUCGAAGCUCAACUUCGGAAACGCCUCGGAUACUGUGGUUCUUGGAUAUUGUAGGGGAUGAUGGAAUUCUCGGUGUAGCGGUGGAAUGUAUAGAUAUCGAGAAGAACACCUAUAGCGAAGGCAGUCAUCUGGGCAUUUAUCGACGCUGAAUCACGAAAGCUAGGGGAGCAAACAGGCUUAGAUACCCUGGUAGUCCUAGCCGUAAACGUUGUACACUAGGUGCUCCUAUUUAAAUAGGAGUGCCGUAGCUAACGUCUUAAGUGUACCGCCUGAGGAGUAUGCCCGCAAGGGUGAAACUCAAAGAAAUUGACGGGUCCCCGCACAAGUGGUGGAGCAUGUGGUUUAAUUCGAUGAUACGCGAAAAACCUUACCUGGGUUUGAAUUGUUAGAUGAAUGAUUUAGAGAUAAGUCAGACCGCAAGGACGUUUAACAUAGGUGCUGCAUGCCUGUCGUCAGCUCGUGUCGUGAGAUGUUGGGUUAAGUCCCGCAACGAGCGCAACC
rnacentral:rRNA from 1 species